rnacentral:misc_RNA from 1 species
GCGAGUAUGGCCCUCACGGGUCUAAUCCACCAUAAACACCUUUGUGAACCAGUCAGGGGGACUCGGCCGUGAAAGCCCAGGCGAUUAGCGGAAGGGCCCUCCUUUGCAAACCCGCUUAGAAGUCUUGAAAGUACUUUUGUAUAAUCUAGUA